rnacentral:rRNA from 1 species
AUGGCAUCAUCCCAGAGGCCGACAGAAAGGAGGGCGUCGAGGUGCACCCCAGUCAUGGCGCGGGCCACGCUCGUAUUCGACAUCGUCGGGUACAGCCUGCAUAAGGGCAUGGGCGCCGGAAAAUUCAUCCGGUCCCCUCGCACCUCCGUUGGCGGGUAUGAAUGGUGCAUCCGCUACUACCCUGACGGAGACGAGGGCGAGGACCAUGUCUCGGUCUACCUCGAGCUUCUGAGCAAGGGUGCUAGGGCAAGGUCGCUCUUCGAUUUGAGGUUGCUCAACCAGGCCACCGGGCUGUCAACGUCGGUGACGUCCUGCUUGAAGUCGCCGAGAGUGUUCGAUUCGGUCGACACCAUUAAGAACAAAUAUGCUUGGGGUGUUCAUUCUUUUAAGAAAAAGAGUGAGCUGGAGAACUCACCUUACCUGCGCGAUGACCAUCUUAUAAUUGAGUGUGAUCUCAGUGUGAUCAGCAACGUACCGCUCGUUGUAGAAACCGUGGACAUCCAGGUGCCACCUUCAGACUUGGCAGAUAAUCUCGGAACAUGGCUGGAGACGGGGGAGGAAGCAGACGUGACAUUCAAUGUCAGAGGGGAGACUUUCCCAGCACAUAAGAUCUUGCUUGCAAUGCGGUCACCGGUCUUCAAGGCAGAGCUCUAUGGACCGAUGGGAAAUCGGACGGCUCGCAACAUAAACGUGGAAGAUAUGCAGCCUGCUGUUUUCAAGGAAUUGCUUCGCUUCAUCUACACAGAUUCAUUGCCUUCUCGGGACAACCUCGAUGAUGACAUGGUUAAGCAUUUACUGGUGGCUGCAGAUCGGUAUGCCAUGGAAAGGAUGAAGAUGAUAUGCGAAGGCAUUCUCUGCAGAAGCCUUCGUGUCGAGACUGUGGCAACCACGCUAGCUCUAGCUGACCAGCAUCAGUGCAGCAGGCUCAAAGAAGCCUGCAUUGAAUUUAUCAUCACUUCAAAUAGAAUGGCUGAUGUGGUUGCAAGCCAAGGGUAUGCGCACUUGAAAAGAUCAUGCCCUGCUGUCUUAGGAGAUAUCUUGGAGAGUGUAACAAAGUCUCGCACAGUUUAA